rnacentral:rRNA from 1 species
UACAGAGGGGGCAAGCGUUGUUCGGAAUUACUGGGCGUAAAGGGCGCGUAGGCGGCCAUCUAAGUCAGACGUGAAAUCCCCCGGCUUAACCUGGGAACUGCGUCUGAUACUGGACGGCUCGAGUAUGGGAGAGGGAUGUAGAAUUCCAGGUGUAGCGGUGAAAUGCGUAGAUAUCUGGAGGAAUACCGGUGGCGAAGGCGGCAUCCUGGACCGGCAUUGACGCUGAGGAGCGAAAGCAUGGGGAGCGAACAGG